rnacentral:rRNA from 3 species
AAAUUGAAGAGUUUGAUCAUGGCUCAGAUUGAACGCUGGGGGCAGGCCUAACACAUGCAAGUCGAACGGUAACAGGAAGCAGCUUGCUGCUUUGCUGACGAGUGGCGGACGGGUGAGUAAUGUCUGGGAAACUGCCUGAUGGAGGGGGAUAACUACUGGAAACGGUGGCUAAUACCGCAUAACGUCGCAAGACCAAAGAGGGGGACCUUCGGGCCUCUUGCCAUCAGAUGUGCCCAGAUGGGAUUAGCUAGUUGGUGAGGUAACGGCUCACCAAGGCGACGAUCCCUAGCUGGUCUGAGAGGAUG